AUGGAACUCACAUUUAUAAUGCUAGAGACUGCUGAGAAAUUUGAGAGGGCAUUUGAGGAAUAUGCACUUCAGGAUCCCAACUACAAGACUGAGUUAGAAAAAACUGGUCCAGAAUCUAAGCCUGAUACUCCUGAUCAGCAAGGUCCACCAACUCAAAGUGAUUGGGUGUAUGUUCGUGAGUUCAAACAAUUCCUCCAACACUUCUAUCUCCUCACUAAUAAGGUUUCUGGCACUAAGUAUGUUACAGCCAACACCUUCUUGGAAGAUAUUGCUGAUGUACAUUUUAUGUUGAGUGAAUGGAGUGAUCAUGUGAUCUGUGGUGAUGAUGAAAUAUUUAAAUGCAUGGCUACCAAGAUGAAAACCAAGUAUGAGAAGUACUGGGGUGAUCCUGAAAAGAUGAACAAGUAUACAUUCAUUGCUGCCAUCCUUGAUCCAAGGACCAAGGAAUCUCAUUUCUUUAAGGACAUGAUUGAAGACACCUAUGGCAGUAUAAUAGGUAACAGAAUCUUGACACCUUCCCACAAUGAAUUUGUCUCUCUUUUUGGAGAAUACAGAGAAUUAUAUGGAACCAGUACUCCUAGGGAAUUAGCAUCACAAGCUCGUCCUAGUGCAAAUGCUUCUGAAAGUUCUCUAGUGAGGUCACGAUACAACCAGAAAAGAAUGAGAGUUUGUGGAGAGGACAGCACUAGCACAAAUACAAGAACUGAAUUAGACAAGUACCUAGCUGAGGACACAGAAGAGUUGACUGCUGAAUUUGACCUUCUUGAAUGGUGGAAGUGCAAUGCUCCUCACUUUCCCGUCCUUUCAAAAAUGGCUCGUGAUAUACUAGCAAUCCCCCUCUCUACGGUUGCUUCUGAAUCAGCUUUCAGCACUAGUGGUCGUAUUCUCGAUGACUCCAGAAGCUCUUUAACACCAGCGACACUGCAGUCGUUGAUAUGCCCACAAGAUUGGUUGCGUUCUAAGUGUAUCAAUGUUGAAGCUGAUGUUGCUGAGUUGACCAGGCUGGAGGAAGAAGUGGGUGCCAUUCAUUUAAAUGAUAAUGUGACAAUAUCGAUUGAUUGA
rnacentral:rRNA from 1 species